CACGUAGGGGCGCGAGCGUUGUCCGGGAAUUAUUGGGCGUAAAGAGCUCGUAGGCGGCCUGUUGCGUCCGCUGUGAAAGCCCGGGGCUUAACCCCGGGUGGCAGUGGAUACGGGCAGCUAGAGGUAGGUAGGGGAGAAUGGAAUUCCCGGUGUAGCGGUGAAAUGCGCAGAUAUCGGGGAGGAACACCGGUGGCGAAGGCGGUUCUCUGGGCCGAUACUGACGCUGAGGAGCGAAAGCGUGGGGAGCGAACAGG
rnacentral:rRNA from 1 species